GAGAAUCCUAAGGCCGGCGGAAGAAUUGCAGUUAAGGAACUAGGCAAAUUGACCCCGUAAGUUCGCGAGAAGGGGUGCCUGUGAGAGCAGGCCGCAGAGAAUAGGCCCAAGCAACUGUUUAGCAAAAACACAGGUCUCUGCUAAAGCGUAAGCUGAUGUAUAGGGGCUGACGCCUGCCCGGUGCUGGAAGGUUAAGGGGAACACUUAGCGCAAGCGAAGGUGUGAACUUAAGCCCCAGUAAACGGCGGCCGUAACAAUAACGGUCCUAAGGUAGCGAAAUUCCUUGUCAGGUAAGUUCUGACCCGCACGAAUGGCGUAAUGACUUGGGCACUGUCUCAACUGCAAAUCCGGCGAAGUUGUAGUGCGAGUGAAGAUGCUCGCUACCCGCGAUUGGACGGAAAGACCCCGUAGAGCUUUACUGUAGCUUAGCAUUGAAUUCCGGUAUUGUCUGUACAGGAUAGGUGGGAGACUGGGAAACUAGGGCGUCAGCCUUAGUGGAGUCAACCUUGGGAUACCACCCUGACAGUACUGGGGUUCUAACAGGACGCCAUGAAACUGGUGACUGGACAUUGUUAGGUGGGCAGUUUGACUGGGGCGGUCGCCUCCUAAAAAGUAACGGAGGCGCCCAAAGGUUCCCUCAGAACGGUCGGAAAUCGUUCGUAGAGUGCAAAGGCAGAAGGGAGCCUGACUGCGAGACCCACAAGUCGAGCAGGGACGAAAGUCGGGCUUAGUGAUCCGGUGGUACCUCGUGGGAGGGCCAUCGCUCAACGGAUAAAAGCUACCUCGGGGAUAACAGGCUGAUCUCCCCCAAGAGUCCACAUCGACGGGGAGGUUUGGCACCUCGAUGUCGGCUCGUCGCAUCCUGGGGCUGUAGUAGGUCCCAAGGGUUGGGCUGUUCGCCCAUUAAAGCGGCACGCGAGCUGGGUUCAGAACGUCGUGAGACAGUUCGGUCCCUAUCCGUCGCGGGCGUAGGAAAUUUGAGAGGAGCUGUCCUUAGUACGAGAGGACCGGGAUGGACUGACCUCUGGUGCACCAGUUGUUCUGCCAAGAGCAUAGCUGGGUAGCUAAGUCGGGAAGGGAUAAACGCUGAAAGCAUCUAAGCGUGAAGCCCCCCUCAAGAUGAGAUUUCCCAUAGCAUAAGCUAGUAAGACCCCUUGAAGAACACAAGGUUGAUAGGUCAGAGGUGGAAGUGCGGUAACGUAUGUAGCUGACUGAUACUAAUAGGUCGAGGGCUUGAUC
rnacentral:rRNA from 1 species